rnacentral:lncRNA from 1 species
UUUAAUCUUAAUAAUACUAACUUUUCUUUUGUAUUAACUUUUAUUUGUUAAGUGUUAUAUAGUUUUUAAAAGAGUUGGUAAAUAUAUAAAAAAAAAAUUACUUUUCAAUGAUAUCUGUUUAAUAUCUCUAAUAUAUGAACUAUACACCAAUUUAUCUCUUUACAUUAUUCUGUUUAGAUAUAUUAUAAAAUAGUAUUUAAAAUCAGUUGUCAGCCACAUGUGGUCUAUAUGAUGCAACAUGUUUGCAAUUUUUUGCAUGUCAUUUUUAAAUUUGUAACUAAUUUUGCUUUUUAAUAUUAUAAUUAGUAUGACUUUUAAAAUAAUAAAACUUUUUAUUUGUUUCAAAAAAUUUUGUUUUAUUACUUACAAUAUAGUAUGUUAUUACAAGAUUCUUCUGGCUUUUUCUCUGCUUCAAACCAGUUUAGUUAUAACUUUUGUUCACAAAUUUUAUAAGACGCUAUACACAUAGUUUCAUUGGUUUAAACUGAUAAAAAGUACUUUAUUGUUUUUGUUCAUUUUUGAUUAGCAUAUCAAAAAGAUAAUUAGAUAUGCGUUUAUAUAUCUUUAUUUAUAUUUAUGUGCUUAAGUUUAUAUAAGUUUAUAUUAAGUUGUUUCCAUGUAAAAAGUGAUGUUACUUGACAACGUGUAGUGCAAGAUUGUGAUUCUUGCUAGCCAAGCGGUGUUACUAAUUAGUGGUGUUACUUGGCACAUAAUGCCAAGCGCUCUUACUAAAUUGUGGUGUUACUUGGCAGCGUUUAUUGCCAAGCGGUGUUACAAGUGUUGAGCUAGGUUGUGUUUUCUAGCUUUUUUAAUUAUUCUGGAAACACAAAAUCUGAAUAUUUUGUGUUAUGUGCAAAUGCGUUAUGUACAAAUAUUUUAUGCUAUGUGUAUUCAGUAGCAUAGGCAGGGUCUUUUGAUGCUUCAAAUAGCACUUUCAACCAAACUUAAGUGUAUCCACGUUUAUAGAAUUAAAAUACCUUGCAAAAAAUUGAUGUUGUUAAAGCUUAGGAACAAAUGUUUAAAAAAGAUGUUUUUCAAAACCUGAAUUUUUUUUAGACAUAACAAAGUUAAACUCUUUAACAGCUUCUAAAUAUAUAUCUGAAACAACAAAAAUCCUGCCUACACUACUGGUGUAAUUGUUUGUCAUCCUAUAAUGUUGUUGUGAUGUUUUGUGUUGAUAGACAGCUUAGCUUACCUUCACGUUGGUGUUUAUCGUUAAAAAUGAAUAUUGGGUAGCUUAAUUACUGAAACUUACUCCUAAUUACUUCACUAAAAGCCAAGAAAUAUUUUAAGAAAAAAAGCCUAAUAUUUUUGUGUCAGUAAGACUUUUUAUCUUUAGCAAUGCUUAUAAAACUGAAUUUAAAAAAAAAAAGAGUAUUUCCAGCCUUCCAACCAAAUAUUAGAGACUUUUACAAAAGCACUCUCACAAAAUAAUGCUUUUAUAAUCAAUUUAAAAGUCUUUCAAAUCGUUAAUCAUUUUCUAAAGGCGAAGAAGAAGAGUCAUCAAUCUUCAUACUAUUUAAUAAAGCUAUUUUAAUAAAACGCAAUACAAAUUGUUGUAAAUUAGUAUUUGAAUAAUUUUCACGUUG